rnacentral:rRNA from 1 species
UACGGAGGGGACUAGCGUUGUUCGGAAUUACUGGGCGUAAAGCGCACGUAGGCGGAUUUGUAAGUCAGGGGUGAAAUCCUGGAGCUCAACUCCAGAACUGCCUUUGAUACUGGGAAUCUCGAGUCCGGGAGAGGUGAGUGGAACUGCGAGUGUAGAGGUGAAAUUCGUAGAUAUUCGCAAGAACACCAGUGGCGAAGGCGGCUCACUGGCCCGGUACUGACGCUGAGGUGCGAAAGCGUGGGGAGCAAACAGG